rnacentral:rRNA from 1 species
AGUCUUGCGCAAUGGGCGAAAGCCUGACGCAGCCAUUCCGCGUGAAUGAUGAAGGUCUUACGAUUGUAAAAUUCUUUCACCGGGGACGAUAAUGACGGUCCCCGGAGAAGAAGCCCCGGCUAACUUCGUGCCAGCAGCCGCGGUAAUACGAAGGGGGCUAGCGUUGCUCGGAAUUACUGGGCGUAAAGGGCGCGUAGGCGGAUCGUUAAGUCAGGGGUGAAAUCCCGGGGCUCAACCUCGGAAUUGCCCUUGAUACUGGCGAUCUUGAGUAUGAGAGAGGUAUGUGGAACUCCGAGUGUAGAGGUGAAAUUCGUAGAUAUUCGGAAGAACACCAGUGGCGAAGGCGACAUACUGGCUCAUUACUGACGCUGAGGCGCGAAAGUGUGGGGAGCAAACAGG